UCACAACAUACCAUUCAGGUCCAAAUAACACAAUGUAUUCUAACUUUCACCUACUAGAAAUUUAUCCACCUUGUUUGGAACUAGAAAAGUAUUCAUGUUUUUUGAAAAGUUUCAAGAAAGAUAAUUCUCCAAUAACCAAACGACUCUAAGUCUUUACUGGUGCUAUCCUCGCUGAACUUGUGUUUUAAUUUUCUUUAUUAUUUCGUUUUGUGUUUUUUUUUUCUUGAUCUUGCAAGGCUUUUGAAUUACUUUGUUUUUUUUUUUUUUUUUUAACCUUUAUGCAGUUCAAAUCUCCUAUCUUUUCUUUCUUUAGCUAUUCCUCGUGAGCUUGAACAAAAAAGUCGUCCGCAACCCUUUUGACAUAUGAAGAAGAAAAUGUAACGAGUUUUACGUGUUGUAUUGUGUAGCUAUUAUAGAAGAAAGAUUACACGAGAAAUUGAGCUUGUUCAUCUUUUG
rnacentral:lncRNA from 1 species